UGGGGAAUUUUGGACAAUGGGCGAAAGCCUGAUCCAGCAAUGCCGCGUGUGUGAAGAAGGCCUUCGGGUUGUAAAGCACUUUUGUCCGGAAAGAAAUCCUUGGCUCUAAUACAGUCGGGGGAUGACGGUACCGGAAGAAUAAGCACCGGCUAACUACGUGCCAGCAGCCGCGGUAAUACGUAGGGUGCAAGCGUUAAUCGGAAUUACUGGGCGUAAAGCGUGCGCAGGCGGUUUGCUAAGACCGAUGUGAAAUCCCCGGGCUCAACCUGGGAACUACAUUGGUGACUGGCAGGCUAGAGUAUGGCAGAGGGGGGUAGAAUUCCACGUGUAGCAGUGAAAUGCGUAGAGAUGUGGAGGAAUACCGAUGGCGAAGGCAGCCCCCUGGGCCAAUACUGACGCUCAUGCACGAAAGCGUGGGGAGCAAACAGGAUUAGAUACCCUGGUAGUCCACGCCCUAAACGAUGUCAACUAGUUGUUGGGGAUUCAUUUCCUUAGUAACGUAGCUAACGCGUGAAGUUGACCGCCUGGGGAGUACGGUCGCAAGAUUAAAACUCAAAGGAAUUGACGGGGUCAUAGCUG
rnacentral:rRNA from 1 species